CCUACGGGAGGCAGCAGUGGGGAAUCUUGCGCAAUGGGCGGAAGCCUGACGCAGCGACGCCGCGUGCGGGAGGAAGGCCCUCGGGUCGUAAACCGCUUUCAGCAGGGACGAGGCCGCAAGGUGACGGUACCUGCAGAAGAAGCCCCCGGCUAACUACGUGC
rnacentral:rRNA from 1 species